UACGAGGGGGGCAAGCGUUGUUCGGAAUUAUUGGGCGUAAAGGGUGCGUAGGCGGUCUGAUAAGUCAUCUGUGAAAUCUAUGGGCUCAACCCAUAGUCUACAGGCGAAACUGUCGGGCUUGAGUAUGGGAGAGGUGAGUGGAAUUUCCGGUGUAGCGGUGAAAUGCGUAGAUAUCGGAAGGAACACCUGUGGCGAAAGCGGCUCACUGGACCAUUACUGACGCUGAUGCACGAAAGCUAGGGGAGCAAACAGG
rnacentral:rRNA from 1 species